rnacentral:rRNA from 1 species
CAGCCGCCGCGGUAAUACCGGCGGCCCGAGUGGCGGUCACUAUUAUUGGGCUUAAAGCGUCCGUAGCCGGGUUGGGAAGUCCUCCGGGAAAUCUGGCCGCUUAACGGUCAGAAUGCCGGAGGAUACUCCCAGCCUAGGGAGCGGGAGAGGCCGAGGGGCUUCCCGGAGUAGGGGGGAAAACCUAUAAUCCCGGGAGGACCACCUGUGGCGAAGGCGCUCGGCUGGAACGCGUCCGACGGUGAGGGACGAAGGCCAGGGGAGCAAACCGGAUUAGAUACCCGGGUAGUCCUGGCUGUAAACGAUGCGGACUUUGUGUCGGACAAGCUAUGAGCUUGUCCGGUGCCGGAGGGAAACCGUUAAGUCCGCCGCCUGGGGAGUACGGCCGCAAGGCUGAAACUUAAAGGAAUUGGCGGG